rnacentral:rRNA from 1 species
GCUCAGUCAGAGUUUGAUCCUGGCUCAGGACGAACGCUGGCGGCGUGCUUAACACAUGCAAGUCGAACGGUAAGGCUCCAGCUUGCUGGGGUACACGAGUGGCGAACGGGUGAGUAACACGUGGGUGACCUGCCCUGCACUUCGGGAUAAGCCUGGGAAACUGGGUCUAAUACCGGAUAGGACCAUGGUGUGGAUACUGUGGUGGAAAGUUUUUUCGGUGUGGGAUGGGCCCGCGGCCUAUCAGCUUGUUGUGGGUAAUGGCCUACCAAGGCGGCGACGGGUAGCCGGCCCGAGAGGGUGGACGGCCACAUUGGGACUGAGACACGGCCCAG